UGGGGUGUCGCCAAGCGGUAAGGCUCUGGUUUCUGAUACCAGCAUACCCAGGUUCGAAUCCUGCACCCCAGCCA
rnacentral:tRNA from 1 species